ACAGUGGGUGUGGUUUACUCGCCUGCCGUCUAAGAUGCAGAAAAACUUCAAUGAAUGCAAAUGUUCAUAGAAAACCUAAGUUCCUAAAUAAUUGCCUGUGCACCGUUAAUAUACCGCCGAGUAUCACUCCAAAUAUAGUGUUAUUUGAUAGACAUGUAAUGUUCUUUACGAUACAUUGGGUGUGGUUUACUCGCCUGCCGUCUAAGAUGCCGAAAAACUUCAAUGAAUGCAAAUGUUCAUAGAAAACCUAAUUCCUAAAUAAUUGCCUGUGCACCGUUAAUAUACCGCCGAGUAUCACUCUAGAAAUAAUGUUGUUUGAUAGACAGUGUAAUGUUCUUUACGAUACAGUGGGUGUGGUUUACUCGCCUGCCGUCUAAGAUGCAGAAAAACUUCAAUUAAUGUAAAUGUUCAUAGAAAACCUAAGUUCCUAAAUAAUUGCCUGUGCACCGUUAAUAUACCGUCGAGUAUCACUCUAGAAAUAAUGUUGUUUGAUAGGCAGUGUAAUGUUCUUUACGAU